CCUACGGGUGGCUGCAGUGGGGAAUAUUGCACAAUGGGCGAAAGCCUGAUGCAGCAACGCCGCGUGCGGGAUGAAGGCCUUCGGGUUGUAAACCGCUUUCAGUGGGGGCGAAUUUGACGGUACCCACAGAAGAAGCACCGGCUAACUACGUGCCAGCAGCCGCGGUGAUACGUAGGGUGCGAGCGUUGUCCGGAUUUAUUGGGCGUAAAGAGCUCGUAGGUGGUUGUUUGCGUCGGAAGUGAAAACCUAGCGCUUAACGGUGGGCUUGCUUUCGAUACGGGAUGACUUGAGGGAGGUAGGGGAGAACGGAAUUCCUGGUGGAGCGGUGGAAUGCGCAGAUAUCAGGAGGAACACCGGUGGCGAAGGCGGUUCUCUGGACCUUUCCUGACGCUGAGGAGCGAAAGCGUGGGGAGCAAACAGGAUUAGAUACCCUUGUAGUC
rnacentral:rRNA from 1 species